UGUGUGUCUCAAAUAUGAGCGAAACUGAGUGCAGCUGUGAGAAUCAGUACAUCUGGUCCUCUGAACAAUGCUCUAAACAUGGCGCUUGUGGUUCGAGUCAAAAUAACAAAUGUGGAUGCAUCAAUUCUCUUCCAACUGAUGGGACAAACUGCCAUCCACCACCAACUCCUUUAAAGUCCUUCAGAUACACCAUUGACAUAAAAGUUAAUGCUUCAAAUAAAGCUGUGAUCAACCGUUUGAGGGCGAUGAUCAGUGAACAGAAAUUCCCAAUGUGUGUCAAGAAAGGCAUGAAAAUAUCCAGUACAAACAUCACUACAGUGUGUCUCUCAAAUUCAAGCAUGACUCAAAACAAUACAUGUAGAUGCAUCACUUCUAUUCCAACUAAUGGGAUUUUCUGUCAGCCACCAAGAGGUAAAUAUUUCUGUCUUUCAGUCAGGGUGAAAACUUGUGGGUUUUAACUGGUAAAACAUUUUUUUUAGCACAACUUAAGUCAUUCAGAUACACCAUCGACAUAAAAAUCAAUGCUUCAAGAGGUUUUGGGGUGGACUGUUUGAAGGUAUUGAUUAAUGGACAAAAAUUCCCAAUGUGUGUCAGGAAAGGCAUGAAAAUCUCCAGUGCAAACAUCACAACAGUGUGUCUAUCAUCUUUGAAUAAAACUGAGUGCAGAUGUGAGAAUCAGUACAUCUGGUCCUCUGAUCAAUGCUCUAAAUAUGGGGUUUGUGGCUCAAUUCAAAAUAAUACAUGUGGAUGCAUCACUUCUCUUCCAACUGAUAGAUCAUUCUGUCAUCCAGCACCUGCUCCUCCACUCAGAUUGUUCAGAUACACUAUUGACAUAAAAAUCAACGCUUCAAGAGAUGUUGUGAUCGACCGUUUGAGGACAUUGAUUCAUGGCCCAAUAUUCCCAAUUUGCGUCAAGAAAGAGAUGAAAAUCUCCAGUACAAACGUCACUACAGUGUGUUUCUCAAAUUCAAGCCAGACCAAAUGCAUAUGUGAGAAUCAGUACAUCUGGUCCUCUGAACAAUGCUCUAAACAUAGGGUUUGUGGCUCAGGUCAAAAUAACACAUGUGGAUGCAUCACUUCUCUCCCAAUUGAUGGGCCAUUCUGUCGGCCACCAAGAGCACAACUCAAGUCAUUCAGAUACACCAUCGACAUUAAAAUCAAUUCUUCAAGAGAGGUUGUGAUCGAUCAUUUAAGGGCAUUGGUUUUUGGACGAAAAUUCCCAGUGUGUGUCAGUGAAGGCAUGAAAAUCUCCAGUAUAAACAUCACUACAGGUAAGAGAAUAAAAAGAGUAAUGCCAUUCCGUUUUUAAG
rnacentral:lncRNA from 1 species